AGUGAGCAUUUGCAGCCAAACAGCAGUUUUGUCCAGUUCUGUGAAAUCCAAGAAGUCUGACAGUCUUCCUUCAUUUAUCUUUCAUUUCUUUCCCUUGUCCUGGCAGUAUUUCUGCUGGUAUAAUCCCAUCUCUUUCUGGCUUCUUCCAAGGUGGCUGAUUAAAUUCAUGGUUCACACCCAUAUUGAUCUCCUUAUCAAAUGAUGUUUCAGCCACACCCUUGUGUUCUCUUCAGAACACUUUCUUCUCAUUUUUUUUUUUUUUUUUUUUUUUUUUGCAGUACGGAUAGGCAGAGAAUUUUCCAAAUCUUCAAGUUCUGGUUCUUUUUUGCUUAAAAAAAAAAUUCCUUCAAUUUAUUUCUCUGUUCUCAUUUUCUUUCAGUGGUAAGAGAAAACCACACCAUACCUUCAGCACUUUGCUUAGAAAUAUCCUCAGCUAAAUACCCAACUUCAUUGUUGGCAAGUUCUACGUUCUAUAGAAUGCUAAAUCACAAUUCAGCCUGGCUCUUUCUCACCAUAUGGCAAAGAUCUAUUUUCCAAUGACCUGUGCCUCACUUCUGCCUGAGACCUCACCAGAAAGGCUUGUGAUGUCAUUUCUACCAACAUUCUGUUCCUGUAUUCUCUAAGAAGAUGGAGACUCUCUCUAUAGCUCCCCUCUGUUCUUUCUGAGACCUCACCAGAACUGCCUUUAACAUCCACAUUUCCAACAACAGUCCUUUGGUGGCAAUUUAGGCUUUCUCUGGCAAGCACCAUCAAACUCUAACGUCUACCCAUUACCCAGUUCCAAAGCUGCUUCCGCAUUUUUAGACUCUGGGAUGUCCAAGCUGAGGGUUCCAGCAGGGUACGGUUUCUGGUGAAGGUUCUCUCCCACUUCUCUGUUUCAUCUCCUCGGGAGCACUGAGCACUGUCCAAAAUUCCACAGGCUUCACUGGCUUGUUGUCUUUCUCCAUGACAGGUGAGGAAAAAAGAAAGAGCAGAUCUUAGAAUUUGCAGACACAGAAAGUAUUUUUGUGUUGAGAUGAAAAUGAAGAUGAAAUAAUCCUCUUUGGGAAUAAAAAGGGAACUGAGGCAAGCAGGCAAGGAGCUUGUGGUGGACACACCCUAAGGUGAUCCUUAAUGACCUGACUUGUAGAAUUCUCUUCUGCGGAAUGUGGGUGACACCUGUGACCUGCCUCUAACCAGUAGAAUAUGGUAAAGGUGAUGGCACACCAUUAUGUUCCGUUCUCUAAGACUCCACGUGUUCGCAGACCAGGGUGAGAGGUGCUCCUGCCAGCCUUGAAGAAGCAAGCUGCUGGGACAUGGGCUUCCCGUGUAGAAAGCCGCAAAGCAGGGAACCGUGGGGAGAGCCUCUAACCAGGAAGAAACCAGGGGCCCUCUGUCCCGUCUCCAUGAUGACCUGAAUUCCCCCCACAACCACAUGAGCUCCGAAGAAGACCCUGAGAUCCAGAAGGAACACAGCUCUGCUAACAGCUUGGCUGCAGCCUAGCGGGAUCCUGAGCACAGGAUCCAGAAACUGUGAGAUAAUAAACAUGUGUUGUUU